GGAAAGUUCAACUAAAGCUUGUACCGCACCGGUCGAGGAAAGUAUUCGAGAGAACUAAUUGGCUCCUCUCUGGCAACCGAGCACAUAGCAAGUAAUAAAGAUAUGAUAACUGUAAAACACAAGACUGGGGAGUACCAAUUGAGAUACUCCGAAGAGAGACUAUACCAAUGAUACUUUAAGGUAGGUUAAGUAAGUCCUCCUCCAAGUCCAGUGAGAAAGCAAGGAUAGGUUAGUUUCCCUUAUAUUAAGUCGAAAGAAGCUCCGUGAAAUAAUUCAAAAAGUAAGUAGGAAAGUCACUAACUUACUAGAGGAGCCUAUACUAAUGGCUAUCAGCCAAGCAACUACCUUAUGUUUCCGACUCCCUAGUGAUUCACUCCCUUCCCGAAUGAGAUACUAGGCCUUCGCUAGCUCCUGCUGAUUGAGUUUCUUUCCUUAACUGACUAUAAGGGCCUCUGUUAUUGAUUACUUGACUAGCUUCCUCUCCUACUAGCUUCCUUUCCUCGCGUUACAAUUCGGAAGUAGAUGCUUUCCCCUGGUAGUAGUAGUCCAGCCCUUCCGUUAAUGGGUCAAGGAGAAAGUCCCGUUCUGGUUCUAGGAUCAUCAGCAAGCGGUGGUGUUGUCGACUCAAUCAAUUGCCUGCUCUUGUGUUACUCGUGUUUUCCUAUAUCUAUAUAUAGAGAUUCUAAGUUCUCCGCUGUUUUCCCCUACUGUUUGUGUAGUGUGUUAGUGCAUGAGAAA
rnacentral:lncRNA from 1 species